AUCGACAAUCCACGAUAAAUUCAACUUCAAUUAUAAAUUCAUAUACCGCCAUCUUAAGAAUUAAUUUUAAUAUAUUUCUCUAAAAAAUAAAUAAAAAGUUAGGUCAAGGUGUGAUUAAUAUCGAAGAACGAGAUGAAUUACACUAAAUAUAAUUACAAGAUUAUAAGUAAAUAUAUUUAUAUAAAUAAGAAUUUGAAAGUAAUAUUAAAACAAUAUUAUAAUAUGAUAUAAAAAAUAAAUGUGCACACAUCGCCC
rnacentral:rRNA from 1 species